UUGAACGCUGGCGGCCGGCCUAACACAUGCAAGUCGCGCGGAUGAAGGGAGCUUGCUCCUGGAUUCAGCGGCGGACGGGUGAGUAAUGCCUAGGAAUCUGCCUGGUAGUGGGGGAUAACGUCCGGAAACGGGCGCUAAUACCGCAUACGUCCUGAGGGAGAAAGUGGGGGAUCUUCGGACCUCACGCUAUCAGAUGAGCCUAGGUCGGAUUAGCUAGUUGGUGGGGUAAAGGCCUACCAAGGCGACGAUCCGUAACUGGUCUGAGAGGAUGAUCAGUCACACUGGAACUGAGACACGGUCCAGACUCCUACGGGAGGCAGCAGUGGGGAAUAUUGGACAAUGGGCGAAAGCCUGAUCCAGCCAUGCCGCGUGUGUGAAGAAGGUCUUCGGAUUGUAAAGCACUUUAAGUUGGGAGGAAGGGCAGUAAGUUAAUACCUUGCUGUUUUGACGUUACCAACAGAAUAAGCACCGGCUAACUUCGUG
rnacentral:rRNA from 1 species